UAGGGAAUCUGCGGCAAUGGACGAAAGUCUGACCGAGCAACGAAGCGUGAGUGAAGAAGGUUGUCGGAUCGUAAAACUCUGUUGUUAGAGAAGAACAAGGACGUUAGUAACUGAACGUCACCUGACGGUAUCUAACCAGAAAGCCACGGCUAACUACGUGCCAGCAGCCGCGGUAAUACGAAGGUGGCAAGCGUUGUCCGGAGUUGUUGGGCGUAAAGCGAGGGAAGGAGGUUUCUUAAGUCUGAUGUGAAAGCCCCCGGAUCAAACGGGGAGGGUCAUUGGAAACUGGGAGAAUUGAGUGCAGAAGAGGAGAGUGGAAUUCCAUGUGUAGCAGUGAAAUGCGUAGAUAGAUGGAGGAAAACCAGUGGCGAAGGCGGCUCUCUGGUCUGUAACUGAAGCUGAGGCUCGAAAGCGUGGGGAGCAAACAGG
rnacentral:rRNA from 1 species